AGGUUAUAGAAAAGGAAAAUGCAGGUUGUUUUGACUUAAGAAAAGAUUUAGGAAAGUAAGGUUGCUUAUUAUGCUCAGGGAUUACAACAUAUUAUGUCCAGCUACACAGGCUGAGAGCGAGGAUGGGAUGGAGCACAUAAAGCCAGUGGAAGGGGUGGUCAAAGAGGGGCAAGGGGAUGGAGACAAGGAAAUCAGGGUUAUAGGGGCAGGGGUAACCAAGGAGGAAUAGACAGGAACACUUGUUUCAAUGUGGCCACUGGAGGAAUGAGUGUCCACACCCCAGGAAACCCCACACACCCCAACAACCCCACCUUUCUCAAAAUAUGCCCUGUAGGCAAGAACAACACCAGACCCACUCCCAACACCACUGGCCAGCAUAUCGCUUAGUUCAGGACUUUAGAGCCCUGAAUAGUUUAAUUGUGCCCAUUUCACCCAUUGUCCCUGAUGUGACAUCCCUCAUUACAGCCAUUCCACAUGAUGCCAC